ACACGGCACCAGAGUUAAGUUAGGGUUUUUCAAAAUGCUGACACGCCGAGCUCAAGAGGUUCGCCAUCACUGGCCUAGGGAGAAGCCAUGGGCAUCUCAGAAAUGUGAGUGUGACAGGCUGGGCAAAACCAAACACAAGUUUCAGGAACUUAGUACUACUGGCCACAUCUGCACCUCUUCAGGUACAUACCUGGAAUGUUUUCACAGCCGGAAUCCAGUCUCUGAGGUGACUCAUGAGAAAUUCAAAUUUGUUUAGAACACUCAACGAUAAUAAGAGUAGCUAACAGUUUUCAAGUACAUGCCAGGCACUGUGCUAAGCCCUUUUGGCAAAAUAGUCUCUCUAUGCCUUACUAGUAAUAGUUAGGAUUCCCAUUUUGACAAUAAGGAACUUGAGGCUCAGAGAAGUAACUUGCACCAGAGUCUCUCCUGCUCUUAACUACUUUCCCAGCUGUUAAGGAUGGUGACUACCACUUACAGAGAGCUGAUUAAGGGCCUGCCCACGUGUUGUAACUGACUUAAUCUUCAUAAGAACCUUACUAAGGAGCACCUAGGAGUCCCACAGACAGAUGAAGAACCUUUGGCUGCAGCACCGGGCAUCACAGCCCUUCCAUUGGCCAGCCUCUGGGGCAUGUAUGUUCCCACUAAGGCACUGCUAACAACAGAGGAAGAGGAAAAAGAACCCAGCUCUUUCUUACUCGCUUUAUUAAAACCUAAGUCUGCCCAGAAGCCCUCAAACAGUAACAGCCUGUACCAGAGUCUCAGUGACAUCCCGAGACAGUUCCUAAAGGGCUACUAAAUAUAACUCUCUUCCACGGGGCUGCUGCCUGCUACCUUCACUUUUAUGAUCUUACUUAUGAAACAUCUAGUCAACGUGAAGUUCACGGGCAGGUCUCAGCUGAACAAGGGCAGCCUCGGACAGAGGUUGAGUUUCAGUAUGUACUCAUCUGGCCACCUUUUCACGGAGCCACGUGAGGUUGAUUGACCUUCAGUUGGGAGAAUGACCAGCUAAAAGAAUGUGUUCCCCUGGGGAAAAGGCAAGCCAUGAAGCGUGGAAUGAGAAAAAAGACUGAUGAAUGCACUCGGACUUCCAAAGUUUCAAGCAAUAAGAAUCUGACUUGCUUAAAGCCAAGGGAAUCACUGUCCUCUUCUUUCAAAAUGAAUUGAUGUUGCUUCUGUCCCCGGCAUGAUAGAAAAGUCACCCAUUUCGCUGGUCGACACUCUGGAGCCUGAUUCCCAACUCUGCCACUUCCUCCAGGCAAGGUCACUCAGUAUCCUGGCAGAGAUGGAGUGUCCUUGUCUGUGAAAGGGGUUAAUAGUGUCUGUUUGCAGGGUUGUAUGGACGUGAGACAGUGUGGGUGGAUUGCCUAGAAAUAGUCAUUGCACAUGGUAAGCAAAGGCACUGGUUUUAUCCAGUAAUUUACUGUAUAUAUGUAUCUAUCUCUCCUGUGGCCCUGAGCUCCUCAAGUGCAGAGACCUGCCAUUGGUUUUUAGGUCUAGUGCCUACUCCUGUACAUGCUCAUAUAAAAAAUGAAUAAUUGUGCUCUGGCUGGGUAGCUCAGUUGGUUAGAGUGUCGUCCUGAUAUGCCAAGGUUUGGGGGUUGAUCCCCAGUCAGGGC